UACGUAGGGUGCGAGCGUUGUCCGGAAUUAUUGGGCGUAAAGAGCUCGUAGGCGGUGUGUCACGUCGUUCGUGAAAACCUGCAGCUUAACUGUGGGCGUGCGGUCGAUACGGGCAUCACUGGAGUUCGGCAGGGGAGACUGGAAUUCCUGGUGUAGCGGUGAAAUGCGCAGAUAUCGAGAGGAACACCGGUGGCGAAGGCGGCCAACUGGACGAAUACUGACGCUGAGACACGAAAGCGUGGGGAGCAAACAGG
rnacentral:rRNA from 1 species